rnacentral:rRNA from 1 species
CUACACUUGACAUGCAGAGAACUUUCUAGAGAUAGAUUGGUGCCUUCGGGAACUCUGACACAGGUGCUGCAUGGCUGUCGUCAGCUCGUGUCGUGAGAUGUUGGGUUAAGUCCCGCAACGAGCGCAACCCUCACUUUUAGUUGCCAUCAUUAAGUUGGGCACUCUGAAAGAACUGCCAGUGAUAAGCUGGAGGAAGGUGGGGAUGACGUCAAGUCCUCAUGGCCCUUACGUGUUGGGCUACACACGUGCUACAAUGGUGGUGACAAUGGGCAGCGACCUCGCGAGGGGUAGCCAAUCCUAAAAAGCCAUCUCAGUUCGGAUUGCACUCUGCAACUCGGGUGCAUGAAGUUGGAAUCGCUAGUAAUCGUGGAUCAGCAUGCCACGGUGAAUACGUUCCCGGGUCUGUACACACCGAAUCUAGAUGCAUCGGAGACAUA